AUUAGAACUAGCACUAUAGUGCAUAGUUUCCAUCGCACCAAUGAGGAAUUCUGAGUAACGACAACACCACUGUUGUUGCGUCCACAUAAUACAAGCCUUCCCUAAUUGCACACACGCCCUCACCCCUCCUCCAAGCAGUUGCUGGUAGCCAAGGAGGACACAGAGGAUU